GAAAGACAGGACAAUGUGGGGAAGUCGGUUUGCUGAGUAUGGAUUAGCCAGUGAAAUCUUCUCUGCUGCCCAGACAUUUCCGGAAUAAUAACAGAUCUCAGGAAAUGUCUAUUCAGAGUAUUUGUCAGCGAAUUAAUGUGUUAUCAUGUUCACCAGUUCGCACAGUGAAAGCGAAGGUCUCUGCAGUUGAAAGGUUACAAUUACGUUGCUAAGUACACCGCAUGUGGAAACCUUAACUUUC